GAUGAACGCUGGCGGCGUGCUUAACACAUGCAAGUCGAACGGACAGGCCCUGAUUUUGCGGGGUGCUCGAGUGGCGAACGGGUGAGUAACACGCGUGUAACCCGCCCUUGACUUUGGGAUAAAUUCUGGAAACUGGGGCUCUUAUCGGAUAGGAGCUCUUGCAGCGCGGUGGGGGUUGGAAAGUUUCGGCGGUUGGGGCUGGUCUAGAGGCUUAUCCGCUUGUUGGUGGGGUUGUGGAAUACCAGGGCUUUGACGGGUAGCCGGCCUGAGCGGGGGACCGGCCACAAGGGGACUGAGAUAGGCAGCAGACUCCAACGUGAGGCAGCAGUGGGGAGUAUUACACAGUGGGCCGAAGCCAGAUGCGACGACGCCGCGUGCGGGAUGACGGGUUUCGAGUUGUAAACCGCUUUCGCCUUUGACGAAGCGGGAGUGACGGUAAUGGGUAAAGAAGCACCGGCUAACUACGUG
rnacentral:rRNA from 1 species